UUUAUAAUUUAAAUCUNUAAAACCCACCCACCAACUAUAAUGAAGCAUCAAAAAGAUAUAGUAACGGCGAUAAAACUUUUAUUUACUUGAACUGAAGUACCGUAAGGGAACACAAAAAAUAGGAAUAACCAGUUAACGCCAGCGUACUUUUUGUCUCACGGUUUAGCAAGAGCAGCCUAGAAAUCUAGCUUCUCGAAAUCUAAUGAGCUAUUUUUAUUUAACCUUCUAGGGUUAUUACUCUAAAUGUGGCAAAAUUUAAGCGAUAAAUAAAAAUAGAGAUGAAAUUUCAUACGCAUUAGCGAUAGCUAGUUUUCCCUAAAAGAUAUAAAAGUAUCAAAGCGGACUAGACCUAUAAAAUACAUAACAAAUUUUGUAAGCUGUCUUAGCUUUCAUUUACUCGAGGAUAAGCUCGAAUAAAACUCCGAAUAGUAACUUAUAACUUUGUGCCCUCUGUGUGGGCUUAAGAUUAGCCACCACACGAAGCUUGUUAUAGGGUAGUCUUCCAACCAAUAAAAAAAUUAAUAUACAUAACCUUCGGUGUAAACAAGGGAACAUAGAAUCGAAACCUUCAGAUUGAAUGCCUAUGCUAAAAUGAGUAUUAUACUCAAAAUUGUAUGAAAAGAUCGUAGAGAAUUUUCUUUAAAUCCCAUGAUCCCAAAAUAAAAUAACUGAAAGGAACUCGGCAAUUCCUUGCUUUGCCUGUUUAUCAAAAACAUGGCUCUUUGUUUUACUUCGAUAAAGAGUCGAGCCUGCCCAGUGAAGUUUUUAACGGCCGCGGUACUCUGACCGUGCAAAGGUAGCAUAAUCAUUUGCCUUAUAAUUGAAGGCUGGUAUGAAUGGUUUGACAAAAGCAAACCUGUCUCUCUUUUAUUACCUAAAAAUUGACCUCUAGGUGAAGAGGCCUAGAUAACAUUGGAGGACAAGAAGACCCUGUCGAGCUUAAAAGAACAAGUGGAAGUCAAUAUACUAAUAAAUAAAUAACCCACUUAGCUUUUUAGUUGGGGCGACUAAGGAACAAAAAAAGCUUCUUCUGCAGAAGAAACUGAACAAGUUAAGAUCCAGCUAUGGUCUGAUCUAAGAAAUUAGUUACCGCAGGGAUAACAGCAUAAUCUCUCUUGAGAGACCUAAUCGAAAGGGGGGGUUGUGACCUCGAUGUUGGACUAGAAUAUCCUGAAGAUGCAGAAGUCUUUAAGGGUUGGUC
rnacentral:rRNA from 1 species